GGCAUGCUGGGAUGUGUAGUUUCACAACAUCUGGAGAGCCACAGGUUGGCCAGGCCUGGUAUAGAGAUAUCACCAGGAACCUACACACCCCUUUAAAGUCGGAGACAGAGUCGUGGUGAAGGUGCUCCCCAGGAACAAGAGCCCAGGAGACUUCACCUAUGGUCCAGAGACAGAGGUCGUAGCAGUUACCCGAACAGCAGUCCUGACAGAGGAAAGUCCUACCUGGAUCCAUGCAUCCCGAGUAAAAAAGGUUCCUAGACCAGACCUAGAGAGGGAAGCAAGUGAUUCCAGUGAGGUACGAACCGGGGCAGACAGCCCUGACCUCCCACCUAGCGAAGAAAGAAGAACAGAAGAAGAUGAGGAACCUGUCCCCUAUCUUUAUCCUGGGGACUACCUUGAUAGCCCUACUGGCCCUCACUCACCACACAAUAUGUGAGGUUGAUAUUACACAGACUAAUGGGAUCCCCACCUUGUGGUACAAUUCCUCCAAUACACACGUAGCCACAUAUAUCCUUGACUAUUUUAUGUUCCCCAAAAUUGCUGAUGACAAAUAUUAUAUACAACAAAGGAGGAAAUCAGGAAUGUCUGAGACAGUAUAUAUUUGUGUUACUGACGAAUGGUACUAUGACAAUAGAUAUUAUGGAUCUAAUUGUAAUUCCUGGGAAGCUGUGGGGUGGAAUACAGGAGUAGAUUGGAAAUAUGGCCCAUCGUUUGCAAAGAAUAGAUGGAGCAAAUAUGGAGUACCCCUACUUUCUAGACUAUCCAUUCAUAAGAUGGAUGAAGGCCCAAAUUCAUACAGGUUUAGACUAAACAUAGUGAACCCUAGCAGAAGCGACAAUGAGACUUAUGUACUUGGUAUAUGGUGGCAAGCAGGGUAUUAUAGUGCAAGGCAAAUGUUUUAUUUAUGGGAUAUGUAUAAAAACCCAAAAUACCAGCCUAAAAUUGCUCCCCAAAACAAACCUUUAAAGCCCCAUAUUGCCACUUUUAAAGAUAUGGUGGCUAUUACUAACCCUACCUUUGAAGACACCCUAGCUAUUGAAACUGGUUUCUCUGACAUUAAUUUUUGGUUGGAAUGGAUGAAGUAUAGUGCUAACAAACACAAUAAAUGCAACUGUUAUGUCUGUGGCAAAUCUAGGCCCCACCUAGGUACAGUGCCCCUUAAUAUACCCCUAGAACAAGAAAAUUGUUUUUUUCAGCCUUUUUAAUGACACCAAAACAAAUGACAGUCAGUGCGAAAUGUGGAAAAGGGAAUAUCCCAUAUUGUCAAAAAAUCCCAACCCAGGAAGCACCAUAACCAUAUAUCCUGGAAACUACACUUGUUAUACAUCUAACACCACAACAGGGAGAAAUUUAAAAACCUUCCCACCAGGGUAUUGUGCAAAUAAAAGAACAACUGUUUUAGUCAACCAAACUAGAUCAUUAGGCGACAUUUAUUACAUAUGUGGGAAACUGUAAAUAAAAACGUAGCCUGGAUUAAUUAUAUAUAUUAUAAUCAACAAAGAUUUGUUAAUGAUACCAAAGAUCCUCUUAAAGGUAUAGCUGAACAGCUAGAAGCCACUUCCCAAAUGACAUCCCAAAAUAGAAUGGCCCUUGACAUGAUCCUAGCAGAAAAAGGCGGUACAUGUGUUUACAUUAGUAAGGUGGAAGGCUGUUGUACAUAUAUUCCUGACAACACUGGUCCCAAUGGUAAGGUUACUUUAGCCAUAAACAAGUUAGAAACCUUAUCCAUAGAACUUAAGAAAAAUUCAGGUAUUGAUAACCCAUGGAGCCAAUAUUUUGGGUGGUUUGAAAAUUGGAAACAGGCUCUUGUGCAAAUAAGCAUAUUUAAACUCAUAACUUUAAUUCUUUUAGGCAUUAUAGUUUAUUGUGUAAUUCCCUGUGGAAAGAAACUUACCUCCAAAGGCAUUGAUAAGGCCCUGAUGUAUUAUGACAUAACCACCAGUCCUGUCACCUCCUCUGAUAGUAAGGGACCCGACGAUUAUGUCCAAUAUCUCAAGAACUGGAGGAACAAGAAAGGAGCCUCACUCAAGAAUCAUGUCAUAUAAUAAUCAUGAUUCUAAGAGGGGAUUGAAGGGUUACCUCUUCUGUCUUUGUACAUAUUACUUUUUAUAUGAUCAGUUUCCUUAUAAUAAUUACAGUGUAAAAGUGAAUAUUUCUAUUUCCCUAGUGAAGGGUUAAAACAUGCUUUAUGAACUCUUAUGUGUUUGCAAUGGAUGCUGCUGCCCUGUGUUAGAUGCCUUUGUCUCUCAUACAGAUACCAGGCUUGUGUGGGUCUGGCAUCCAAGGUCAGCUCUCUACUAGAUGAAACCUGCUUUUUCUACUUCUGUGUGUUACUAAAAGAUCCUUUGUUAAGUUUCGCCUGAUGCAACAUAUAUAACAUCUGCCUGGCAACUGCUAUAUCCAAUUAUGUUAUGUCAAGUAUUAACCACCCCUACGUACCCCACCCAGGCACCUACCCCUAAGCCAAUGAGCCCUUUUACACUUGUCAGUUCCACCCAUAUGCAUUGUCUUAUAUACUCUUGUUAACUUUAUAAUAAACAGUGUGAAUUUUAA